AAAACAUCUCCUUUUGAGAUAUUUUUUUUUGAAAUAUUAGAUUAUUUUUUAAAAGGAGAGAUAUUUUAUUUUUUCUCCUUUCUCCAACUUUUUCUCCUUUUCCCAGCCUUCCUCUCCUUUCUCCUACCCCCUUUCUCCUUUUUCCCAUCCCCUUUCUCCUACCCCCUUUCUCCCUGUCUCCCUUACCCCUGCAGGGCCGUAACUAGCCUCUUUUAAUAGUGACAGAGGCAAAACAUAUUCGCCGAGCGUAGCGAGGAGAAAAAUUUUUGUCGAGGGGUCUUGAGGCCGCUCAAGGCCCCCAGAAGCUCUGAGAAAAAUAACGCAAUAUCAUGCAUUCUGAGCGUUUCACGGACUCUUUCUUACAUUGAAACGCAAAUAAUCUUGAGCUAUUUUUUCGACAACAUUCUAGUCUCAAAGCAAAAACAUAGAUUUAUUGUAAUUUAGACUUUUAGGUUUUAGGGGCAACAUUAAAAGGUAUGUAGGAUAAAGUGAAAAUCGUAUUUCUCAUAAUCAUUAAUACCGGGUCUGUCUGUCUGCUCUUGUCUUGUAUUGUGCUGACUUUGGUGAUUUUUUUAUGACUAUAUUUAAAUAUAGUGACAGUGCAGUAUUAUACUUUAAGUACUAGUACUGCUUAAGUCGACACUAGGGACCAUCUUGACCUUCUUUUACGGUAUUAAUGAUUAUUGAAGUCCAAGACCCUCCAGCAACUAUCAAGAUGAAGAACAGGAAUAAAAACUUUGACCAUUGAUCAUUUGUAUUGUUUCUAUGUAUGCGAUUAGGUCCCGUGCACGUUUACUCCAUAUUCCUUUAUUUUCUGUCUAAACACGACUUAAUGCAAGUUUAACCAUUCAAUGUAAAAGGUUAUAUGGCAAUACAUUGUUUUUUUAAAUGAUUUGAUACCGGGAAAUUGGUGGUCUUUCUUUAAUUUAAACCAUGUCAGCUAUGUAGUUUUAUCCACAGGAGCUUGGG
rnacentral:lncRNA from 1 species